AACGAACGCUGGCGGCAGGCUUAACACAUGCAAGCCGAACGCUCGCAGCAAUGCGGGAGUGGCAGACGGGUGAGUAACGCGUGGGAACAUACCCUUUGGUUCGGAAUAACUGAGAGAAAUUUCAGCUAAUACCGGAUGUGCCCUUCGGGGGAAAGAUUUAUCGCCAAAGGAUUGGCCCGCGUCUGUUUAGCUAGUUGGUGAGGUAACGGCUCACCAAGGCGACGAUCAGUAGCUGGUCUGAGAGGAUGAUCAGCCACACUGGGACUGAGACACGGCCCAG
rnacentral:rRNA from 1 species